rnacentral:tRNA from 1 species
GGCAAGUUAUCUCAGUUGGUUAGAGAGCGGAGCUCAUACCUCCGAUGUCGAGAGUUCGAGCCUCCCACUUGCCACCA